rnacentral:rRNA from 1 species
ACAGAGACUGCAAGCGUUAUUCGGAUUCACUGGGCGUAAAGGGUGCGCAGGCGGCCGUGUGUGUGAGGCGUGAAAGCCCGGGGCUUAACCCCGGAAUUGCACCUCAAACUACACGGCUAGAGCAUUGGAGAGGGUAGCGGAAUUCACGGUGUAGCAGUGAAAUGCGUAGAUAUCGUGAGGAACACCAGAGGCGAAGGCGGCUACCUGGACCGAGAUUGACACUAAAGCGCGAAAGCCAGGGGAGCAAACGGGA